AAUAGAGGAUGAUCGGCUAAAACCGGCACGUCCUGUGCCAACGCCGACCUGACCCGCAUCCUGCGGG
rnacentral:sRNA from 1 species